CUGCCCCCUUUCGGGCUCUGGCCAAGGAACCGCUGCGUUCAAAGCAGAGAUCCCCGCAAUGAAGUGACAUCUGACUGUUCACGGCGAACUGUGGAGCCUCUCACUUGACAGCAGUAUUUGCAAGCGCGUUUUCUCAACUCUGGCCUGAGGGAAAGCCUGGGUCUGAUCAUUGUAUGUACUCCUGAAUAAUGCGAAAGGAAAUUUCCUGACCUCUCGGGGUUUCUUGCAGCAAGGAAUGAACACAGGAGAAGCUAAGGUGGAGCUGAAUUUCCCUGCUCUUGAGCAUAGGCUGGACUCAGUGAUUCAUAGAACACAACCUGCUAUAACCAGCCUUGCCAAGUGGCCUGUGUCGGGAGGGACCGAAGCCUUCUGUCACCAAGAUCUGGAAGCAGACCCUUCAUUCCCAGUCACAUCUUUAGAGGCGACAUCCUGGCCGACAGCUUGACUACAACCUCACAAGAGACCCUGAGAGAGAACCUACU